UACGUAGGGUGCAAGCGUUAAUCGGAAUUACUGGGCGUAAAGGGCGCGUAGGCGGCCCGCUAAGUCGAACGUGAAAUCCCCGAGCUCAACUCGGGAACUGCGUCCGAUACUGGCGGGCUUGAAUUCGGGAGAGGGAUGCAGAAUUCCAGGGUGUAGCGGUGAAAUGCGUAGAUAUCUGGAGGAAUACCGGUGGCGAAGGCGGCGUCCUGGACCAACACUGACACUGAGGAGCGAAAGCCAGGGGAGCAAACGGG
rnacentral:rRNA from 1 species